UUUUUGACAGUGUUGGGGUUUAAGAUGACAAAAGUGGCCGAUUGCCAUCUACUUAGGGGAAACGAUAUGCUGAAGAGAAGCAGCAGGAAGGAAACGUUGUGUAGGGAACAUAGAAAGCAUGAAAAUCUUGGGUAUAGUGUCCAUCCAAAACUAAACCCUUGCCAUCGGCGUAAAUGUACACUCGAAUUUCAUUGAUCUUGAUUUAAUUCUUGAUAAUUACAAGUUGAUUUGUCA